GCAACGAGCGCAACCCUUGUCUCUAGUUGCCAUCAUUUAGUUGGGCUACUCUAGAGAGACUGCCGGUGAUAAACCGGAGGAAGUGGGGACGACGUCAAGUCCUCAUGGCCUUUAUGCCUAGGGCUACACACGUGCUACAAUGGAUCGUACAAAGGGUCGCGAACCCGCGAGGGGGAGCCAAUCCCAAAAACCGGUCCUCAGUUCGGAUUGGAGUCUGCAACUCGACUCCAUGAAGUUGGAAUCGCUAGUAAUCGUGGAUCAGCAUGCCACGGUGAAUACGUUCCCGGGCCUU
rnacentral:rRNA from 1 species